rnacentral:misc_RNA from 1 species
GAUGAAGAACGCAGCGAAAUGCGAUAAGUAGUGUGAAUUGCAGAAUUCAGUGAAUCAUCGAAUCUUUGAACGCACAUUGCGCCCCUUGGUAUUCCAUGGGGCAUGCCUGUUCGAGCGUCAUUUGUACCUUCAAGCUCUGCUUGGUGUUGGGUGUUUGUCUCGCCUCUGCGUGUAGACUCGCCUCAAAACAAUUGGCAGCCGGCGUAUUGAUUUCGGAGCGCAGUACAUCUCGCGCUUUGCACUCAUAACGACGACGUCCAAAAAUACAUUUUUACACUCUUGACCUCGGAUCAGGUAGGGAUACCCGCUGAACUUAAGCAUAUCAAUAAGCGGAGGA